rnacentral:rRNA from 1 species
AUUGAACGCUGGCGGCAGGCCUAACACAUGCAAGUCGAACGGUAACAGAAAGCAGCUUGCUGCUUUGCUGACGAGUGGCGGACGGGUGAGUAAUGUGUGGGAAACUGCCUGAUGGAGGGGGAUAACUACUGGAAACGGUAGCUAAUACCGCAUAACGUCGCAAGACCAAAGAGGGGGACCUUCGGGCCUCUUGCCAUCGGAUGUGCCCAGAUGGGAUUAGCUAGUAGGUGGGGUAACGGCUCACCUAGGCGACGAUCCCUAGCUGGUCUGAGAGGAUGACCAGCCACACUGGAACUGAGACACGGUCCAGACUCCUACGGGAGGCAGCAGUGGGGAAUAUUGCACAAUGGGCGCAAGACUGAUGCAGCCAUGCCGAGUGUAUGAAGAAGGCCUUCGGGUUGUAAAGUACUUUCAGCGGGGAGGAAGGGAGUAAAGUUAAUACCUUGGCUCAUUGACGUUACCCGCAGAAGAAGCACCGGCUAACUCCGUG